rnacentral:rRNA from 1 species
AGCGAACGCUGGCGGCAGGCUUAACACAUGCAAGUCGAGCGGGCCCUUCGGGGUCAGCGGCCGACGGGUUAGUAACACGUGGGAACGUACCCUUUUGUUCGGAAUAACUCUGGGAAACUAGCGCUAAUACCGGAUACGCCCUUUUGGGGAAAGGCUUGCUGCCGAAGGAUCUGCCCGCGUCUGAUUAGCUAGUUGGUGGGGUAAUGGCCUACCAAGGCGACGAUCAGUAGCUGGUCUGAGAGGAUGAUCAGCCACACUGGGACUGAGACACGGCCCAGACUCCUACGGGAGGAAGGAGUGGGGAAUAUUGGACAAUGGGCGCAAGCCUGAUCCAGCCAUGCCGCGUGAGUGAUGAAGGCCUUAGGGUUGUAAAGCUCUUUUGUCCGGGACGAUAAUGACGGUACCGGAAGAAUAAGCCACGGCUAACUUCGUG